rnacentral:SRP_RNA from 1 species
UAUCGGUCCCUUCGCAGCGUAAUGUCAGCGAACCCCGUCAGAUCCGGAAGGAAGCAGCGGUAGUUGUCCAUGCGGGUGCCGAGGUGUGGCUGGUAUAA